UUUUAUAAAUAAAAUAAUUAAGAUUAUUUAAUUAAAUAAAAUUAAGAUUAUAUUAUUUAUUUUGUUGGGGUGACAGAAAAAUAUAUUUAACUUUUUUUUUAUUUAAAACAUUUAUAAGUGGUUAAAUGAUCCAAUAUUAUUGAUUAUAAGAAAAAAUUACCUUAGGGAUAACAGCGUAAUUUUUUUUUUUAGUUCAAAUAAGAAAAAGAGUUUGCGACCUCGAUGUUGGAUUAAGAUAAAAUUUAAAUGCAGAAG
rnacentral:rRNA from 1 species